rnacentral:rRNA from 1 species
UGUGACCUCAAAUCAGGUAGGACUACCCGCUGAACUUAAGCAUAUCAAUAAGCGGAGGAAAAGAAACUAACAAGGAUUCCCCUAGUAACUGCGAGUGAAGCGGGAAAAGCUCAAAUUUAAAAUCUGGCGGUCUUUUGGCUGUCCGAGUUGUAAUCUAGAGAAGUGUUAUCCGCGCUGGACCGUGUACAAGUCUCCUGGAAUGGAGCAUCAUAGAGGGUGAGAAUCCCGUCUUUGACAUGGACUGCCAGGGCUUUGUGAUGCGCUCUCAAAGAGUCGAGUUGUUUGGGAAUGCAGCUCAAAAUGGGUGGUAAAUUCCAUCUAAAGCUAAAUAUUGGCGAGAGACCGAUAGCGAACAAGUACCGUGAGGGAAAGAUGAAAAGAACUUUGGAAAGAGAGUUAAACAGUACGUGAAAUUGCUGAAAGGGAAACGCUUGAAGUCAGUCGCGUUGUCCAGAGAUCAACCUUGCUUUUGCUUGGUGCACUUUCUGGUUCAAUGGGUCAGCAUCAAUUUUGACUAUUGGAAAAAGGUUGAGGGAAUGUGGCAUCUUUGGAUGUGUUAUAGCCCUUGGUUGUAUACAAUGGUUGGGAUUGAGGAACUCA